CUAUAAUCAAAUGCACUGUAUUGUGUGAUUUCUUCCCACCGGAUACCUCAGACAAAAACAGAACACUGAGAAAAGAUUGCACGUCUGCCUACAAAGAACUGCCUGGCUGCCAGUUUUGUUGAGAAGGAGAAAGGUAAAGAGACACCCUUUCUGCAGUGAAUUCCAGAACAAAGAUCUGGGGCCUGUUCAAGUCAUCCUAGCUGGCGACGCGGUUUCCUAUCAAGAAAUCUUAGAAAGUCAAAUGGCAUCUGCGAGUUAAUCAGCAGCAGUGAGAUCAGUUAUGAGCAGGUGCUGUGUCACCUUGAAGCGGGAUGGGCAGAUUCUUCUGACGCCAGAACACCGGAAGUUUCCAGGAGUGGCAGGACAUCCGGCUGUUGUUAUUCUUGGCCCUGCCCAGUGCAAGCAUAGAAAAGGCAGCUCGCUUAUUAGGGGUAUAAAUAAAGGCUCAAUUACCUCUUGCCGUGCUCAGGUGGCCAAAAACAUUAAUUAGGAGUCUGCUGUUCUGAGCUUGCAACUGCAACUGAACCCCUUAGGAACUUCCGGUCUUGCCUACGGCUGACCCCGGAGUCCUUUGACUCAGCCUAUAUGAGAGCGUCCCUGUCCCAGCUUGAAGAGAGUCACUCUCCUUUUUGACUCUUUUCCUGGGAGAUUCAAGGAAUGGUGUGUAUUGAGUGAAAGUUGUAUGCAUUUGUGCUUGUUUGUGUAAAUGCCCCUGAGAUCUGCGUGUGCUCUUAAUGUCAAAUCACAACACACUGUAGAAUUAGGAAUGCUGACCUCCUAGGCCCUGGGGGAAUCCUGGGUACUGCUAGGGUUCCUUACUGUUAUUUUGUAGUUGAAAACUCUUUUAAAUAAACAACAUGUACCUUAUGACAAAAUCAAGUAUCGCAAAAGUGGGCAGGAAGAUCUCAGUCUCUUUAUCCCUCUGUUUCUGUUUUCUUUGAGUCCCUUCUGAAAGUAUUUUGUUCUCUGGUCUUAAAAGGCACAUUUUCUGCUUUUCUCUUUCCUCUUCUUUCUUUCUUUCUCUCUUUCUCUCUUUCUUUAUUUCUCUCUUUCUUUCUUUCUUUCUUUCUUUGUUUUUUUUUUUUUGUUUGUUUGUUUUUUGUUUGUUUGAUUUGGUUUGGAGUUUUUUUCAGAGUUUUGAGACAGGGUUUCUUCACUCUUGUAGUUCGGGUUAGACUCGAACUCACUAUGCACAGGAGGCCACCUCUGACUUGAGAAUAGUAAUCUACUUGGCUUCCCAGGUGCUGGAUUACAGGUCUGAGCCCCCGCGCCCCAGCUCCUCUUUCAGAUAAAAGUGAAAACAUCCUCCACCUGCUGUUCUGAACCUUGUCAGAUUUUUUAAUUUAUUAAAGUUCUCCAAGAGGUUUCAAAGCAAAGUCUUUAGUAAGAGUCACUAAUAAAGGCCUCCCCUCUGUUCCCCAGGAAAAGCACUACAGAGACGUGUAUUAAAAAUACUUUAUAAGCCAGGCUUGUUUGUGCAUGUUUGUAAUUCUGGUACUUGGGAGGUAGGCGCAGGAUAAUCAGGAGUUUAGAGUCGUCCUUCUUCGCUAUGGAGUGUGUGUGAGGCCUCCUGAGUUACAAGGAACCCUGUCUCAAACAACGAACAAAGAAGCAUCAUUUACAAACAACUUCAUUAACUCUCCGAAAUCCACGGUGUAGAUAAAUCUAUUCAAAAGCCCUUGACCUUGGGGCUUCAUGCAUGGAUAUUUGAUACUUCCAGAUAAAAUAAAGCAUUCUCUAUUAAAUCUGAA